rnacentral:rRNA from 1 species
GAUGAACGCUGGCGGCGUGCCCAAUACAUGCAAGUCGAGCGAACAGACGAGGAUCUUGCUCCUCUGACGUUAGCGGCGGACGGGUGAGUAACACGUGGAUAACCUACCUAUAAGACUGGGAUAACUUCGGGAAACCGGAGCUAAUACCGUAUAAUAUAUUGAACCGCAUGGUUCAAUAGUGAAAGACGGUUUUGCUGUCACUUAUAGAUGGAUCCGCGCCGCAUUAGCUAGUUGGUAAGGUAACGGCUUACCAAGGCGACGAUGCGUAGCCGACCUGAGAGGGUGAUCGGCCACACGGGAACUGAGACACGGUCCAGACUCCUACGGGAGGCAGCAGUAGGGAAUCUUCCGCAAUGGGCGAAAGCCUGACGGAGCAACGCCGCGUGAGUGAUGAAGGUCUUCGGAUCGUAAAACUCUGUUAUUAGGGAAGAACAAAUGUGUAAGUAACUAUGCACGUCUUGACGGUACCUAAUAAGAAAGCAACGGCUAACUACGUG